AUUGAACGCUGGCGGCAGGCCUAACACAUGCAAGUCGAGCGGAGCGGCGGACGGGUGCGUAAUGCCUAGGAAUCGGCCUGGUAGUGGGGGAUAACGUCCGGAAACGGGAGCUAAUACCGCAUACUCUCAGAUGAGCCUAGGUCGGAUUAGCUAGUUGGUGGGGUAAAGGCCUACCAGGGCGACGAUCCGUAACUGGUCUGAGAGGAUGAUCAUUCACACUGGAACUGAGACACGGUCCAGACUCCUACCAAGAUCAACAGUCUAAAAUAUUGGACAAUGGGCGAAAGCCUGAUCCAGCCAUGCCGCGUGUGUGAAGAAGGUCUUCGGAUUGUAAAGCACUUUAAGUUGGGAGGCGUUACCAGCAGAAUAAGCACCGGCUAACUUCGUGCCAGCAGCCGCGGUAAUAC
rnacentral:rRNA from 1 species